GGGGCGACUCGGCUUUUUUCACCUAUCUCAUUUUCCAGCAGGCUAGCUCAAACAUAUUUCUCUCAAGGCAACAGCAGAUGGCAAGAGCACAAGCAGAAAUAAGCAAGUACCUUUUCAAGCCUCCAUUUGCAUGAUGCAUGCUAACAUCCAAUUAUUCUGAAGACUGGAGGACAAUGCAGGCUUCCCCCCAAGGAAUGGAAGAUGAGAAAACCAGAUUCCCUGGCACGUGCCCACUGUCUGACCCAGAGCAGCUCUAUAUUAGAUAAUUAGCUGGUUCUAGGAUCAUCAUUUCUUUUUCUCCAUGAUUUAUUGACUCUUAAAUGCAACCAUUUCUUCACCCUGUCAUUGUCGAGCACUUAACCCAAAAUUUUAUUGAAAUCAAGAGAUGUUUUCCUUGCUAUUACAUUGGGAGCAGAAUACGAUCCUUUGAACACUUCCAAAGUUCAUUUUUGUUUCUCAGUGACUGCUUUCAAGUUUUCAAACAAGAAAGGAUUUUGUUUUUCUCUG